rnacentral:rRNA from 1 species
GUCAGCUCGUGUCGUGAGAAGUCGCGUUAAGUCGNUUAAAGAGAGAAACCCUUGUCAUUAGUUACCNGCGCGUCAUAGCGGGGACUCUAAGGAGACUGCCGGUGUUAAAACGGAGGAAGGUGGGGAUGACGUCAAGUAUUCAUGGCCUUUAUGCNAAGGUAUGCACACGUCCUACAAUGCAUUUUAUAAAGCGACGCAAAGUUGUGAGACCAAGCAAAUCGCAAAAAGCAAUGCUCAGUUCGGANUGUAGGCUGAAAUUCGCCUACAUGAAGCCGGAAUAGUUAGUAAUCGCGGGUCAGCAUACCGCGGUGAAUGUGUUCCUGAGCCUUGUACACACCGCCCGUCAAGCCACGAAAGUUGGGGGGGCCCGAAGUCACGAUGCUAACCGCAAGGGGGUUAGUUNNNNNGGUCAACUCGAUGAUUGAACUAAGUUUUAAUANUNAAAUCG